AACGAACGCUGGCGGCAUGCCUAACACAUGCAAGUCGAACGUGACCUUCGGGUCUAGUGGCGCACGGGUGCGUAACGCGUGGGAACCUGCCCUUAGGUUCGGAAUAACUCCCCGAAAGGGGUGCUAAUACCGGAUAAUGUCUUCGGCCCAAAGAUUUAUCGCCUUUGGAUGGGCCCGCGUUGGAUUAGCUAGUUGGUAGGGUAAAAGCCUACCAAGGCGACGAUCCAUAGCUGGUCUGAGAGGAUGAUCAGCCACACUGGGACUGAGACACGGCCCAGACUCCUACGGGAGGCAGCAGUGGGGAAUAUUGGACAAUGGGCGAAAGCCUGAUCCAGCAAUGCCGCGUGAGUGAUGAAGGCCUUAGGGUUGUAAAGCUCUUUUACCCGGGAUGAUAAUGACAGUACCGGGAGAAUAAGCUCCGGCUAACUCCGUG
rnacentral:rRNA from 1 species